GGUCGACCGGGCGACCUAAAAAAAGCCGUUUGGCCCGGUGCGGGCCCGCCCUCGUGGCGGGUGUCGGA
rnacentral:ribozyme from 1 species